CAGCAGCCACGGUAACACGGAGGGUGCAAGCGUUAAUCGGAAUUACUGGGCGUAAAGCGCACGCAGGCGGUCCGUCAAGUCAGAUGUGAAAUCCCCGGGCUUAACCUGGGAACUGCAUUUGAAACUGUCAGGCUGGAGUCUUGUAGAGGGGGGUAGAAUUCCAGGUGUAGCGGUGAAAUGCGUAGAGAUCUGGAGGAAUACCGGUGGCGAAGGCGGCCCCCUGGACAAAGACUGACGCUCAGGUGCGAAAGCGUGGGGAGCAAACAGGAUUAGAUACCCCGGUAGUCCCUGUCUCUUAUAC
rnacentral:rRNA from 1 species